UGAGGAAUAUUGCGCAAUGGGGGAAACCCUGACGCAGCAACGCCGCGUGGGUGAAGAAGGCCUUCGGGUCGUAAAGCCCUUUCGGACGGGACGAAAUUUCCGCGGGGUCAAGCCGCGGAAACUGACGGUACCGUAGGAAGAAGCACCGGCUAACUCCGUGCCAGCAGCCGCGGUAAUACGGAGGGUGCAAGCGUUGUUCGGAAUUACUGGGCGUAAAGCGCGUGUAGGCGGCUUGGCAAGUCGGAUGUGAAAGCCCUCGGCUUAACCGGGGAAGUGCAUCUGAAACUGCCUUGCUUGAGUACGGGAGAGGGAGCGGAAUUCCCGAGUGUAGAGGUGAAAUUCGUAGAUAUUGGGAGGAACACCGGUGCGAAAGCGGCCUCCUGGACCGAUACUGACGCU
rnacentral:rRNA from 1 species